rnacentral:rRNA from 1 species
AACGAACGCUGGCGGCAGGCUUAACACAUGCAAGUCGAACGCCCCGCAAGGGGAGUGGCAGACGGGUGAGUAACGCGUGGGAACAUACCCUUUCCUGCGGAAUAGCUCUGGGAAACUGGAAUUAAUACCGCAUACGCCCUACGGGGGAAAGAUUUAUCGGGGAAGGAUUGGCCCGCGUUGGAUUAGCUAGUUGGUGGGGUAAAGGCCUACCAAGGCGACGAUCCAUAGCUGGUCUGAGAGGAUGAUCAGCCACAUUGGGACUGAGACACGGCCCAAACUCCUACGGGAGGCAGCAGUGGGGAAUAUUGGACAGUGGGCGCAAGCCUGAUCCAGCCAUGCCGCGUGAGUGAUGAAGGCCUUAGGGCUGUAAAGCUCUUUCACCGAUGAAGAUAAUGACGGUAGUCGGAGAAGAAGCCCCGGCUAACUUCGUGCCAGCCGCCGCAGUAAAAC